rnacentral:rRNA from 1 species
CCUACGGGUGGCAGCAGUGGGGGAUAUUGCACAAUGGGGGGAACCCUGAUGCAGCGACGCCGCGUGGGUGAAGAAGCGCCUCGGCGCGUAAAGCCCUGUCAGCAGGGAAGAAAAUGACGGUACCUGAAGAAGAAGCACCGGCUAACUACGUGCCAGCAGCCGCGGUAAUACGUAGGGGGCAAGCGUUUUCCGGAUUUACUGGGUGUAAAGGGGGCGCAGACGGCGAUGCAAGCCAGGAGUGAAAGCCCGGGGGCCAACCCCGGGACUGCUCUUGGAACUGCGUGGCUGGAGUGCAGGAGGGGCAGGCGGAAUUCCUGGUGUAGCGGUGAAAUGCGUAGAUAUCAGGAGGAACACCGGUGGCGAAGGCGGCCUGCUGGACUGCAACUGACGUUGAGGCCCGAAAGCGUGGGGAGCAAACAGGAUUAGAUACCCGGGUAGUC